GAUGAACGCUGGCGGCGUGCCUAAUACAUGCAAGUCGAGCGAACAGACGAGGAGCUUGCUCCUCUGACGUUAGCGGCGGACGGGUGAGUAACACGUGGAUAACCUACCUAUAAGACUGGGAUAACUUCGGGAAACCGGAGCUAAUACCGGAUAAUAUAUUGAACCGCAUGGUUCAAUAGUGAAAGACGGUUUUGCUGUCACUUAUAGAUUGAUCCGCGCCGCAUUAGCUAGUUGGUAAGGUAACGGCUUACCAAGGCAACGAUGCGUAGCCGACCUGAGAGGGUGAUCGGCCACACGGGAACUGAGACACGGUCCAGACUCCUACGGGAGGCAGCAGUAGGGAAUAUUCCGCAAUGGGCGAAAGCCUGACGGAGCAACGCCGCGUGAGUGAUGAAGGUCUUCGGAUCGUAAAACUCUGUUAUUAGGGAAGAACAAAUGUGUAAGUAACUAUGCACGUCUUGACGGUACCUAAUCAGAAAGCAACGGCUAACUACGUG
rnacentral:rRNA from 1 species